rnacentral:rRNA from 1 species
UACGUAGGGGGCGAGCGUUGUCCGGAAUCAUUGGGCGUAAAGCGCGUGUAGGCGGCCCGGUAAGUCCGCCGUGAAAGUCCAGGGCUCAACCCUGGGAUGCCGGUGGAUACUGUCGGGCUCGAGUCCGGAAGAGGCGAGUGGAAUUCCUGGUGUAGCGGUGAAAUGCGCAGAUAUCAGGAGGAACACCAAUGGCGAAGGCAGCUCGCUGGGACGUGACUGACGCUGAGACGCGAAAGCGUGGGGAGCAAACAGG